rnacentral:rRNA from 1 species
CAUGUCUUUUUGAAUAUAAUUUUAAGUCUGAUCUGCUCAAUGAUUAAUUAAAUUGCCGCAGUAUUUUAACUGUGCGAAGGUAGCAUAAUAAUUAGUUUCUUGAUUAGGAACUUGUAUGAAUGAUUGGACAAGAAAAUUUCUGUCUCUCUUUAAUUGAUUAAUGAAUUUUAUUAUUAAGUUAAAAAGCUUAAAUUUUUAUAAAAGACGAGAAGACCCUAUAGAGUUUAAUAAUAUUAUAAAUGCCUAUAUAGAAAUAUAAAUUUAGAAAUAUUAUUUAGUUGGGGUGACUAGAAGAUUAAAAAAAUUCUUUUAAUUUAUAUUAUUUAUAGGUAAAUUCUUAAUCUGAAUAUUUCAAAUUUAAAAUAAAUUACCUUAGGGAUAACAGCGUAAUUUUCCUUUAAAGUUCUUAUUGAGGGGAAAGUUUGCGACCUCGAUGUUGGAUUAAAAUUAAUUUUUGGUGCAGUAACUUAAAAAUUAGGUCUGUUCGACCUUUAAAAUUUUACAUGAUCUGAGUUUAGACCGGUGUAAGCCAGGUCGGAUUCUAUCUUUAGAAUUAUAAUAUAUUUUAGUACGAAAGGACCAAAUAUAUAUUAAAUUAAUUG